rnacentral:rRNA from 1 species
AGCGAACGCUGGCGGCAGGCUUAACACAUGCAAGUCGAGCGGGCACUUUCGGGUGUCAGCGGCGGACGGGUGAGUAACGCGUGGGAACGUGCCCUCUGGUUCGGAAUAACUCAGGGAAACUUGAGCUAAUACCGGAUACGCCCUUUUGGGGAAAGGCUUGCUGCCGGAGGAUCGGCCCGCGUCUGAUUAGCUAGUUGGUGAGGUAACGGCUCACCAAGGCGACGAUCAGUAGCUGGUCUGAGAGGAUGAUCAGCCACACUGGGACUGAGACACGGACCAGACUCCUACGGGAGGCAGCAGUGGGGAAUAUUGGACAAUGGGCGCAAGCCUGAUACCGCCAUGCCGGGUGAGUGAUGAAGGCGUUAGGGUUGUAAAGCUCUUUUAUCCGGGACGAUAAUGACGGUACCGGAGGAAUAAGCCCCGGCUAACUUCGUG